rnacentral:rRNA from 1 species
UACAGAGGUCCCAAGCGUUGUUCGGAUUCAUUGGGCGUAAAGGGUGCGUAGGCGGCGCGGUAAGUCGGGUGUGAAAUCUCGGGGCUUAACUCCGAAACUGCAUUCGAUACUGCAGUGCUUGAGGACUGGAGAGGAGACUGGAAUUCAUGGUGUAGCAGUGAAAUGCGUAGAGAUCAUGAGGAAGACCAGUGGCGAAGGCGGGUCUCUGGACAGUUCCUGACACUGAGGCACGAAGGCCAGGGGAGCAAACGGG